rnacentral:rRNA from 7 species
CCAUUCUAAGCGGUGGAUCACUCGGCUCGU